GUUUUUGUAGCUUAUAUAUAAAGCAAAGGA
rnacentral:tRNA from 1 species